rnacentral:rRNA from 1 species
UACGGAGGAUGCAAGCGUUAUCCGGAUUUAUUGGGCGUAAAGCGUCCGCAGGUGGUUAAUCAAGUCUGCUGUCAAAGCGCAGGGCUCAACUCUGUAAAGGCGGUGGAAACUGGUGAACUAGAGUUCGGUAGGGGUAGCGGGAAUUCCCGGUGUAGCGGUGAAAUGCGUAGAUAUCGGGAAGAACACCAGCGGCGAAAGCGCGCUACUGGGCCGAGACUGACACUCAUGGACGAAAGCUAGGGGAGCGAAAGGG